GACGAACGCUGGCGGCGUGCCUAAUACAUGCAAGUCGAACGGAGUGGCGAACGGGUGAGUAACACGUGGGUGACAAGCCCUGCACUUCGGGAUAAGCCUGGGAAACUGGGUCUAAUACCGGAUAGUGGGGGAUGGGACCGCGGCCUAUCAGCUUUUUGGUGGGGUAAUGGCCUACCAAGGCGGCGACGGGUAGCCAGCCGGAGAGGGUGGACGGCCACAUUGGGACUGCAACACGGCCCAGACUCCUACGGGCGGCAGCUGUGGUGAAUCUUGCCCACUGGGCGGAAGCCUGAUGCAGCGACGCCGCGUGGUGGAUGACGGCCUUCGGGUUGUAAACUCCUUUCACCAUCGACGCGGUAGAUGGAGAAGAAGCACCGGCUAACUCCGUGCCAGCAGCCGCGGUAAUUC
rnacentral:rRNA from 1 species